AUUGAACGCUGGCGGCAGGCCUAACACAUGCAAGUCGAACGAGUGGAGGACGGGCGGGUAAUGUCUGGGAACGUGCCCAAUCGAGGGGGAUAACUACUGGAAACGGUGGCUAAUGCCGCAUACCACUGUUUCUGCCCACAUGGGAUGAGGUAGUAGGUGUGGUAACGGCUCCCCGAGGCGACGAUCCCUAGCUGGUCUGAGAGGAUGACCAGCCACACUGGAACUGAGACACGGUCCAGACUCCUACGGGAGGCAGCAGUGGGGAAUAUUGGACAAUGGGCGCAAGCCUGAUGCAGCCAUGCCGCGUGUAUGAAGAAGGCCUUCGGGUUGUAAAGUACUUUCGGCGGAGAAGCGUUACUCGCAGAAGAAGCACCGGCUAACUACGUGCCAGCAGCCGCGGUAAUAC
rnacentral:rRNA from 1 species